rnacentral:lncRNA from 1 species
UGAGCUAACAUAAGCAACUGUUGCAGACUUGGCUGGGCUAGACCCCUCUCACAUCAUGGUAAUAUGCAAUGCUCCUAACAACAAUAUCAUCUCCAUGCUUACCUUUACGCUUUUUUCAAAUAUGAUGGUUUCCUUUGUUAGUUCACCUCUUUUACACAUUGUGAUUUGAAUAUCUAUAUCUCUCACAAACAACUAUGGGAAAAUAGUGUUGUUCAUUGUUAAGCUUGAUACGAAUGUCAUUUAUAUCCAUGUCUAUCUUCCCCAUCAAAUAACUAAGAUCCAUAAAUAUGCGUCAAUGUGUAUGGCAUUUUAUUUAAUUCCAGACUUCAAUCUGAAGUUUUUGAAAAAAAUACUAAUUUGUAUGCAAGGAACAUCAUAUUCUGUUUAAAGAUAAUUAUUAUCGCCUUGGUGUACGCUUUGCUGCAUGAGUUUGUGCUCAUGUAAACUAAUGAGCACUCUAAUUUGCCUUCCAAAAUUAGUAUUGUAACCAUUGUAUUUUACUAUCCAUUUAUCAUUAUCGAUCUACCGUUGCCUCUACGGGCGUGGGGUGUCGCCGCGCUUUUUGGUGCUAGUUGAUAUGAUUCCUACUUCAGUUAGUUCUCUAAGUGGUUAACUAAACUUCUAUGUUUCAGCUACUAAAAUCAUGUUGAACUGAAUAGUCCUACUGCACUACUUGCCGCAACACUUUUGUUUAUUUUUUGGUAUUAAGACAUGAUUGGUUGGUCUAUUUGAUAAGAUUUCUGGUUCAAAAAAACAACCAAAACAUACUUGAAGCUACACUUCUAUUUAUAAUGUCCUUGUAUCAUGUUUUGUUUCCUUCCUGGACAUGGUAUGGUCUAAGUGAUGCUUUUAUGGUAAAUGGUGUGGUUCCUAUAGUCCUGCUGCUAUUUAAUGCUCUUGUAGUUAGGAUUCUACUCCUGGAAGUGAUGCUUGUAGAAAAUGUCUUAGCUUUAUAUGCCGAAAGGUUGUGCAUUAAUUAGUUUCUUCUUCUUCUUCUUCUUCUAAUUUUCUUAAUCACUCCAAUUUUUGCAGAUUUGAUUCAUUUCAUGGAAGCUGGCAUUGAUGGACUGCUAGUGUUUAAAUUUUUUUCAUUUGUAUUGACGAACAAUGUAAAAUUUAUGUAUGUAUAUAUAUAUGAACUAUGUGAAACUAUGUAUUGUGCUAGCCUAUGUGUUCUCUAGAUUGUUAAAUAUUUUAUGAUGAUGUUGGAAAUAUAUAUGCUAUGAAAUAUAUGUGUUGAAGAUGUCUAAAAAGAUGUUGUGAAAUGUAUAUGUAUGCAUGUA